rnacentral:tRNA from 3 species
GGGCCCGUAGCUCAGCCUGGAUGGAGCGGCGGCCUGCGGAGCCGUAGGUCGUGGGUUCAAAUCCCACCGGGCCCG